GCAUUGAGAACACUCAGGACACACUUCUGUUGCUGUGAAUCUGGCACAGAAGACAAUCCACCCACUGAAGAGCAGAAUUAGCACCGGGGCUCUGGUGUUGGGUUUGUUUCCCUGAAAUAACUUCUUUCUCAGGUUUCCCAAGGCAUCACGGUGAACCUCUGAAACGUGAAAUGUUAAGCAACAUCAGUGGUCUUUUUUUUUUUUUUUUCUUGCAGUGGUUUCUAAGACACAGGGAUGAACUUGUGGUCACAGUAAAGCAAAGACCACUUGCCCAGACUCCCACCCACGGUCAGCGGCCAGCUGCUGUGGGGUUCUGCUUCUGCUCGGCCGUCAUUCGCACCCUGGCUUCCACGGCUGCUUCUCGGUGUUGACAGGGGUAGAGAGAGGAGAGUGAAGAAACAAGAAGGACCAAACAGGAAGAAGAUGGGAGUCUGAGCAAGGAAUGGAAGGGGCUGAAACGUGCUACUCGGAGAUGAACAACAGGAUGUCAGCUUUUUAGGAAAGUUGAGGAUCAAACAACCUCCUGCCUUUGUAUUAGUCGCUGAAGGGGACAAGGAGGGAAGAGUGACUUCAGCUGGUGAUAGAGGACCGCAGGUUUGCCGAAAUCUCCAGAGAAUUAACAUACUGAGCCAAGUGCUAAGGAUUCUUGGAGAGUCAGGAGUGGCUGGGGAGAAAUUCAGAAUCUUUUCCUGUCCCUUGGAAACCAUCAAAAGUUCUUGAAUAAAGAGGAAUGUGUAUGAAAGC
rnacentral:lncRNA from 1 species